rnacentral:rRNA from 1 species
GAUCCUGGCUCAGGAUGAACGCUGGCGGCGUGCCUAACACAUGCAAGUCGAACGGAGAACUUAAGUGGAAGUUUUCGGAUGGAAACUUUUGUUCUUAGUGGCGGACGGGUGAGUAACGCGUGGGCAACCUGCCUCAUACAGGGGGACAACAGACGGAAACGUCUGCUAAGACCGCAUACGUCUUUUUGGUCGCAUGACUGAGAAGGGAAAAGAGCAAUCUGGUAUGAGAUGGGCCCGCGUCUGAUUAGCUAGUUGGUAGGGUAACGGCUUACCAAGGCGACGAUCAGUAGCCGGACUGAGAGGUCGGACGGCCACAUUGGGACUGAGACACGGCCCAAACUCCUACGGGAGGCAGCAGUGGGGGAUAUUGCACAAUGGAGGAAACUCUGAUGCAGCGACGCCGCGUGAGUGAAG